UGAAAAAUGGGCAAUUUCAGAAACCUAGCAGCCGCCUCCAACACUCACUCUCCCUAUGCGUCUCUCUCUCAUCCCCCUCUCUCACUAAGUCAUUGUCUCUCCCUCUGCGUCUCUCUCUCAUCUCAUCCAUCUUCAUUUGCCUCUGACCGUCUCUGUCUCUCUCUCACAAUCUCACCCUCUCCGUCUCUCUCACGAUCUCACCCGCUCUGUCUCUCUGUCCUCUGUCUCAAUUAGUUAGAUUUCAGUUCUCUUUUUCAUGUCUCUGUUUUUUUAUCAUAUGGGUUUUUGGUAUUUCGUAAAUAUCUUUCAAUUUUCAAGGCAUGUGGUCUUUCCUAUUGUUAAUUUGUCAUUUUUUGUUUCAGAUUUCAUUUGGGUAGCAGAGAAAAUGCAUAUUUGUCAAUUGUGCAUUUUACUUGCGGCGAUUUGGUUGUGCAGGUUCUGUCAUGAAGCAUCAACUAUGAUGAGGUAUACUUCACUGAGCCUUUCUGAUGAAGGGUGAGAUGGAACUUAUCGAGAAAAUAUUAGAGACUGAAAUAAAUAUAUUCAGUUCAAUUAGAGAUGGGACUGCACUUAUGCAGCACAUGGAAGAUUUUUACUACAUCACAUUGCUAGAGAAUGUGAGAUCGAAUUACCAAGUUGCAGCAGCAAGGGCAGUGUCAGAUGAACAAAAAAACAUAAAAAUUAGCUGAGGAUGGCAUCCAACAGGACUUAAACAUGCCUUUGAACAUUCGUAAUUGCCAAUGCUUCUAGGCAUUGUGCCUGCAACAUACCUCCAGUCAGGGACAUACCAAGCCUAUCCUUUCUGUGUGCUGGGAUCCAUCUGGUUAGAGCAUAUUUACAGCGUCAAUGGAAGCAGAUUCUAUCUGGAAGGGUGUCUCUUCAGGAUUUUGUAUCUGCAAAGGAGGUUCGCCUAGGCACCUACCGUAGCUAGCUCUGUUCUUGUUUUGGCAGGAUAAACAAACAAUGUUAUUGUUAAUGGGAAAUAGCAGCAGCCCACCAUUAGCGAAGAUUCAAAGGAAGCUAUGAAGCAUGCAUUCGAACUCUUUAAUGUUCGAUUGGAAGUAGACUUUGGGACUAGUGAUAUAGGACAUAGCUUAGGAUUGUAAUGAAUAUUUGUAAUUUAUUACAUUUGUCUUUUGUUAAUGAUGAUAUAUACUAUUCUUCGAACAACAAUUUUUCAA